AUUGAACGCUGGCGGCAGGCCUAACACAUGCAAGUCGAACGGUAACAGAAAGCAGCUUGCUGCUUUGCUGACGAGUGGCGGACGGGUGAGUAAUGUCUGGGAAACUGCCUGAUGGAGGGGGAUAACUACUGGAAACGGUAGCUAAUACCGCAUAACGUCGCAAGACCAAAGAGGGGACCUUCGGGCCUCUUGCCAUCGGAUGUGCCCAGAUGGGAUUAGCUAGUAGGUGGGGUAACGGCUCACCUAGGCGACGAUCCCUAGCGGGUCUGAGAGGAGGACCAGCCACACUGGAACAGAGCCACGGUCCAGACUCCUACGGGAGGCAGCAGUGGGGAAUAUUGCACAAUGGGCGCAAGCCUGAUGCAGCCAUGCCGCGUGUAUGAAGAAGGCCUUCGGGUUGUAAAGUACUUUCAGCGGGGAGGAAGGGAGUAAAGUUAAUACCUUUGCUCAUUGACGUUACCCGCAGAAGAAGCACCGGCUAACUCCGUGCCAGCCGCCGCAGUAA
rnacentral:rRNA from 1 species